GCGCCCGUAGCUCAGUUGGAUAGAGCGUUGGCCUCCGGAGCCAAAGGUCGGACGUUCGAGU
rnacentral:tRNA from 1 species